rnacentral:rRNA from 1 species
CUCGUAGCUUGCUAUGAGAACAAUUAGUGGCAGACGGGUGAGUAAUGCAUAGGAAUCUACCUAGUAGUAUAGGAUAGCCACUAGAAGUGGUGGGUAAUACUGUAUAAUCCCUGCGGGGGAAAGAUUUAUCGCUACAUGAUGAGCCUAUGUUAGAUUAGCUAGUUGGUGGGGUAAUGGCCUACCAAGGCAGUGAUCUAUAGCUGGUCUGAGAGGAUGAUCAGCCACACUGGAACUGAGACACGGUCCAGACUCCUACGGGAGGCAGCAGUGGGGAAUAUUGGACAAUGGGCGCAAGCCUGAUCCAGCUAUGCCGCGUGAGUGAGGAGGGCCUUAGGGUUGUAAAACUCUUUCAGUGGGGAAGAUAAUGACGGUACCCACAGAAGAAGUCCCGGCAAACUCCGUGCCAGCAGCCGCGGUAAUACGGAGGGGGCAAGCGUUGUUCGGAAUUAUUGGGCGUAAAGGGCAUGUAGGUGGUUUGGUAAGUUAAAGGUGAAAUGCCAGGGCUUAACCCUGGAGCUGCUUUUAAUACUGCCAGACUGGAGUCCGGGAGA